rnacentral:tRNA from 1 species
AUCUAAAUAGUUUAAAAAAAAUAUUAGUUUGUGAUACUAAAGUUAUAAGAUUUGUAUUUUAGAUU